ACGGUGGAUGCCUUGGCACUAGGAGCCGAAGAAGGACGGGACUAACACCGAUAUGCUUUGGGGAGCUGUACGUAAGCGUUGAUCCAGAGAUUUCCGAAUGGGGGAACCCACUAUCUUUAGUCGGAUAGUAUCCUUACGUGAAUACAUAGCGUAAGGAAGGCAGACCCAGGGAACUGAAACAUCUAAGUACCUGGAGGAAGAGAAAGAAAAAUCGAUUUCCUGAGUAGCGGCGAGCGAAACGGAAAGAGCCCAAACCAAGAAGCUUGCUUCUUGGGGUUGUAGGACACUCUAUACGGAGUUACAAAAGAAAGUUAUAAAUGAAGCGGUCUGGAAAGGCCCGCCAAAGACGGUAACAGCCCGGUAGUUGAAAUGGCUUUCCCUCCAGAGUGGAUCCUGAGUACGGCGGAACACGUGAAAUUCCGUCGGAAUCCGGGAGGACCAUCUCCCAAGGCUAAAUACUCCCUAGUGACCGAUAGUGAACCAGUACCGUGAGGGAAAGGUGAAAAGCACCCCGGAAGGGGAGUGAAACAGUUCCUGAAACCGUGUGCCUACAAGUAGUUAGAGCCCGUUAAUGGGUGAUAGCGUGCCUUUUGUAGAAUGAACCGGCGAGUUACGAUUUGUUGCAAGGUUAAGCGGAAAAAGCGGAGCCGUAGCGAAAGCGAGUCUGAAUAGGGCGCAUAAGUAACAGGUCGUAGACCCGAAACCAGGUGAUCUACCCAUGUCCAGGAUGAAGGUAAGGUAAUACUUACUGGAGGUCCGAACCCACGCACGUUGAAAAGUGCGGGGAUGAGGUGUGGGUAGCGGAGAAAUUCCAAUCGAACUUGGAGAUAGCUGGUUCUCUCCGAAAUAGCUUUAGGGCUAGCCUCGAGGUAAAGAGUCAUGGAGGUAGAGCACUGUUUGGACUAGGGGCCCUUCUCGGGUUACCGAAUUC
rnacentral:rRNA from 1 species